GAUGAACGCUGGCGGCGUGCCUAAUACAUGCAAGUCGAGCGAACUUUUGGGAGCUUGCUCCCAAAAGUUAGCGGCGGACGGGUGAGUAACACGUGGGUAACCUGCCUGUAAGACUGGGAUAACUUCGGGAAACCGGAGCUAAUACCGGAUAACAUUGACUACCACAUGGCCUUCCAUUAAAAGGUUGCUUUUAGCUACCACUUACAGAUGGACCCGCGGCGCAUUGGCUAGUUGGUGAGGUAACGGCUCACCAAGGCGCCGAUGCGUAGCAGACAUGAGAGGGUGAGCGGCCACCCUGGGACGGAGACACGGCCCAGACGGCUUCGGGAGGCAGCAAGAGGGAAUCUUCCGCAAGGGACGGAAGUCUGACGGAGCAACGCCGCGUGAGGGAAGAAGGCCGUCGGGUCGGAAAUGUCUGUUUUUAGGGAAGAAAAAGCAUCGUUCGAAUAGGGCGGUACCUUGACGGUACCUAACCAGAAAGCCACGGCUAACUACGUG
rnacentral:rRNA from 1 species